AACAUCGCGCACCUGCGGGAACCUGCGGAAGGAUCAUUACAGAGUUGCAAAACUCCCUAAACCAUUGUGAACGUUACCUAAACCGUUGCUUCGGCGGGCGGCCCGGGUCCUUCCCGGCGCCCCUCGGCCCUCGCGGGCGCCCGCCGGAGGUAAACCAAACUAUUGCAUUGUAUGGCCUCUCUGAGUCUUCUGUACCGAAUAAGUCAAAACUUUCAACAACGGAUCUCAGAUCGGAAGAGC
rnacentral:misc_RNA from 1 species